GGGAGAGCUAACGAGAACGAGGCGGCAAGUCAAAGACCCGUGGAGCCUGAGGACAGAACAUGGACACAAUGCAAUUGGGAUCAAGAAGAAGAUCUUGUCAGAAAUGAAUCAAGUCCAUGGAAUGGAUAUAGACAAAAAUAUAAUUCAAGGACUAUCAGAGGUAGAGGCAAGGCAGAGGUGAGGACAUCAUCCUGCUUUUUUGAUAGUCCCUGAAGGACAAUACAGAAGAGGUACUUGCUCUUAUUCCUUCCCUUUCUCUAAUGUAUUUUGUAAUAAAAUUAGCAAGUGUAGUAAGAUAAUCAAAUCA